UGUGUCUUGAAUGAGAACUUGUUCCUUCCUCAGAACAUGUUCUUGAUGAGAAUUCUACCCACAACCCCACAGGCAGUCACGUCCUGCAGCAGAUGGGGAUAUUACAGACCUAGGGAUUGAACCUGGAUCUCCUGCGUCGCUGGCAGGUGAAUUCUUUACUGGAUUCCUUUACACCACUUGGAAGUCCCUUGCCUUAAAGAAUUUUAAAUCACUCUGAAUUGAUAGUCAAAUUCAUGUGCGUUCAGCUGACUGGAACUAAAAGACAAUGGGACCCAUACAGUGAAAUUGAGUCCAGCUUCAAGGAAUGCAGCAACGAUGUAGGCACCAUGGAGCAUGUGGGCUCUUCUCUUCCCGACUAGGGUUGAACCCUCACGUGCAUUGGAAGAUAAAAUCUUAACCACUGGACUGCCAGGGAAACCCUAGCAACUGUUUUUGUUUGAGGAAAAAUCUUAUGACUCUAUCGUACCAUUUUGUAUUUGAGAAUAAAAAGAAUAUGGCAA